AUGCCGGAACUUCCGGAGGUGGAGGCGGCGCGGAGGGCGCUGGAGGCGCACUGCGUGGGCCGCCGCAUCACGCGCUGCGCCGUCGCGGACGACUCCAAGGUCGUCGUCGCCGCCGCCGGGCGCGUGGCCUUCGAGCGCGCUAUGGUGGGCAGGACCAUCGUGGCCGCGCGCCGGAGGGGCAAGAACCUCUGGCUCCGCCUCGACGCCCCGCCCUUCCCCUCCUUCCAGUUCGGAAUGGCAGGUGCGAUCUACAUAAAGGGCGUUGCCGUCACAAAGUACAAGAGAUCAGCUGUCAACUCUGAGGACGAGUGGCCCUCCAAGUACUCCAAAUUCUUCGUCGAGCUUGAUGAUGGCUUGGAGUUUUCCUUCACUGAUAAGAGGCGCUUUGCAAGAGUUCGGUUAUUUGAUGAUCCUGAAACUGUACCUCCAAUUUCUGAGUUAGGUCCAGAUGCGCUCUUUGAGCCGAUGUCUGUUGAUAAUUUUGUGGACUCACUGAGCAGGAAGAAGAUUGGAAUAAAAGCUCUUUUACUUGAUCAGAGCUUCAUAUCAGGCAUUGGUAAUUGGAUUGCAGAUGAGGUGCUUUACCAGUCGAAAAUCCAUCCAUUGCAGAUUGCUUCUAGCCUAACAAGGGAGAGUUGUGAAGCGCUACAUCAAAGCAUCCAAGAAGUUGUGAAAUAUGCUGUCGAUGUUGAUGCUGAUUGUGAUCGCUUUCCUGUGGAAUGGUUGUUUCAUCACCGCUGGGGCAAGAAGCCUGGUAAAGUCGAUGGAAAGAAAAUUGAAUUCAUAACAGCUGGUGGCAGGACUACAGCCUAUGUGCCACAACUGCAGAAGCUGACUGGGACCCAAUCUAACAAAAAAGUAGUGUCUAGCCCAGGGCAAGUGAGCGAGGAUGGUGAUGCCAAGGAAGCAGGGACAGAAGUAGAAGUGGAAGCUGAUGAUGAUUUGAAGCCAAGAAAGAGAGUGGCAACAUUCAAGGCUGCCAAGGGAGAGCAAAACAAGGAUGUCAUAAGUGCCCCUUCCAAAAUAAGAAGGAAAAUUGCUGGCGGCAAGAAGAAACAAAGCAUUGAACAUGGCAGCAAAGAUGAUGUCAAGACUACAGGACCAAACAAAGCUGGUGCUGGUAGCAACGAUGAGCAUGGUUUGGACGAACCUGCUGCUAAGAUGCGCAAGGUAUCAGGCCGAGGUACAAGAAAUUCGUCCAAGAAUAAACCGAAGACUACCAAAUAA
rnacentral:rRNA from 1 species